UACCAGCACCCCGAGUGGUCGGGACGAUUAUUGGCCUAAAGCAUCCGUAGCCGGCCUUACAAGUCCUCCGUUAAAUCCAGCUGCUUAACAGAUGGGCUGCGGAGGAUACUAUAAGACUAGGAGGCAGGAGAGGCAAGCGGUACUCAGUGGGUAGGGGUAAAAUCCGUUGAUCCAUUGAAGACCACCAGUGGCGAAGGCGGCUUGCCAGAAUGCGCUCGACGGUGAGGGAUGAAAGCUGGGGGAGCAAACCGG
rnacentral:rRNA from 1 species